UGUUCAUCGGCAAUGAAUAAUAUAACCUGGAUUUUUUUAUUUAUUGAACCAGCCCCCCGUCUCUCUUCCAGCGUGCCUCUAUCCUAUAAAAGCACAGCUUUCUCGCCACUCUGCACUUGAACACCUGUUCACUAUUACCUACAAGAGCUCAGCUGCAGAACACUGACACAGCAGAAAUGGAUAGGUGUAGACCACACUGUGAGGACAAAAACAAAGGCAGUCACAUUGGCAACAUAUCAGGAGGUGGAGGCAACGCGAACAUUGGCAAUGUAUCGGGCGGUGGAGGAAGUAACAUUGGCAACGUAGACGGUGGUGGAGGCAACGAGAACAUUGGCAAUGUAUCAGGAGGUGGAGGAAGUAACAUUGGCAACAUAGAUGGGGGUGGAGGCAACGCCAACAUUGGCAACGUUGGAAAACAAUCUGGCUGCCAAUAGGGCCGCUCCACCAAUAACCUGUCAUCAUUCCUCCUGACAAAGAGGUGAAGAUAAUGAAGACAGGAUGCAGAUUAAUGGAAAUGUCUGUGUUCUUAUUACUUCCAGACUCACUAUAGGAGUAUGAUUUUAAUCAGCAAUACAAUUACUGUUGUUUGGGAGAAAUAAAUAAAUCUUACAACACUGA